UUUUCUGCUGACCAUUUAAAU
ensembl:piRNA 21ur-3197 ncRNA